rnacentral:lncRNA from 1 species
UGAACUGUCAUGCUCGCUAGGCGAAGCCCACGUGUUUUGAAAAAAAAAUAAAAAUAAAAUAAAAUAAAAUAAAAUAAUAAAAAAAAUAUAACAGAAAAAUCUUGGACUUGGACCUCUCUCAUUUGAGCCCACAAAGCCACAAAAAUCAGGUUAUAAAUUCUAAAAAAAAUUCAGUGGAAAAACCCUAGAGAGAUUCUAACUAAUUCAGAGCAACUUCCAGAGACUGAAGGGAACUCAUCUACAAAGAACCAAUUUCCC